rnacentral:rRNA from 1 species
CCUACGGGGCGCAGCAGUGAGGAAUAUUGGUCAAUGGGCGAGAGCCUGAACCAGCCAAGUCGCGUGAGGGAAGACGGCCCUACGGGUUGUAAACCUCUUUUGUCAGGGAGCAAGAACGGAUACGUGUAUCCGAGCGAGAGUACCUGAAGAAAAAGCAUCGGCUAACUCCGUGCCAGCAGCCGCGGUAAUACGGAGGAUGCGAGCGUUAUCCGGAUUUAUUGGGUUUAAAGGGUGCGUAGGCGGAAUAUCAAGUCAGCGGUAAAAAUUCGGGGCUCAACCCCGUCGUGCCGUUGAAACUGAUGUUC